AGUGAACGCUGGCGGUAGGCCUAACACAUGCCAGUCGAACGGCAGCACAGUAAGAGCUUGCUCUUACGGGUGGCGAGUGGCGGACGGGUGAGGAAUACAUCGGAAUCUACUUUUUCGUGGGGGAUAACGUAGGGAAACUUACGCUAAUACCGCAUACAACCUACGGGUGAAAGCAGGGGAUCUUCGGACCUUGCGCGAUUGAAUGAGCCGAUGUCGGAUUAGCUAGUUGGCGGGGUAAAGGCCCACCAAGGCGACGAUCCGUAGCUGGUCUGAGAGGAUGAUCAGCCACACUGGAACUGAGACACGGUCCAGACUCCUACGGGAGGCAGCAGUGGGGAAUAUUGGACAAUGGGCGCAAGCCUGAUCCAGCCAUACCGCGUGGGUGAAGAAGGCCUUCGGGUUGUAAAGCCCUUUUGUUGGGAAAGAAAAGCAGCAGGUUAAUACCCCGCUGUUCUGACGGUACCCAAAGAAUAAGCACCGGCUAACUUCGUG
rnacentral:rRNA from 1 species